rnacentral:lncRNA from 1 species
CAUUACCACACCUUACAUCUCCACCACCACCACAGCAACAUGGUACCCCAUCAUUUACUUCACCACCUGCACAUGGAGAAACAUCACCACCCAACCACUACAGAUCACCUCCAACAGCACCAUCAAAGGGUAACAAUACACCGCCUCCACAGCAUCACGCACACAUGCCACCCCCAGCACAUGGAACAGAGGUACCCCCACCUUCAACACCGGUGAACUUUCCUCCCCCAACACACAAUCACCACCACCAUCAUCAUCCACCAUCCCCACCAAAAGGGCAAAUAAAUCCUCAUCCAAGUCCGAAUCCACCAUCAGGAACUGGUGAAGUUUCACCACCACCUCCAGCACCAAUACCAGUGAAGUUUUCUCCCCCACCCACAAACAAUCAACAUCACCCACCAGCCCCACCAGAAGGGCCAGUAAAUCCAAACCCAAGUCCUAAUCCACCGUCAGGGAGCGGUGAAGUUUCACCACCACCUCCAGCACCAGUAAUGUUUUUUCCACCAUCAUCACCAGGAGGGCCGACGAAUCCUCACCCAAGUCCUAAUCCACCCUCAGGUAGUGGCAGUGAAAUUUCACCACCACCUCCAGCACCAGUAAAGUUUCUUCCACCAUCCUCACCAGGAGGGACGACGAAUCCUCACCCAAGUCCAAAUCCACCUUCAGGUAGCAGCAGUGAAGUUUCACCACCACCUCCAGCACCAAUAAAGUUUCUUCCACCAUCCUCACCCGGAAGGCCGGCGAAUCCUCACCCAAGUCCUAAUCCACCUUCAGGGAGCGGCAGUGAAGUUUCACCACCACCUCCAGCACCCGUAAAAUUUCUUCCACCAUCCACGCCAGAAGGGCCAAUUAAUCCUCAACCAAAUCCAAAUCCACCAUCAGGUCCAGGAUGUCCUAUUGUAUCACCACCUUCCUUUGAUAACACAACACCGCUCCCACCAGUCAUAGGGGUAACAUAUGCAUCACCCCCUCCUCCCGUUAUUCCAUACUAUUGAUCCAUUCUUCUUUGCAUG